UUGGGUGUUCCCGUGUCCCAACGUCCCCUGGGGCGGGGCCUAUCCCGGGGGCGCUUGCCGCGUUCGGUCGCUUGUGGGUCCUGCUGCUUCCCGUGCCGCCUGGUUCCCUGGUGGGGCUGCCGUCGUCGUGCGGGCCCGGCUUUCGGGUUCUCCUGGGCCUGCUGGUCCCCUAUUUCUUGGGCUUCCGUGUUGUUGUCGGUCGUGUUGCGCACUGCGAUCCGUCCUGUUUGGCUGGUUUUUGGGCUUCGCUCACUCUUGCGCCUUUGUUGCGCUUUGUGUCGCCCGUUGUUGGUCGUUGUGUAUUCGGUGGGUUUUCGGCCUUGUUGUCCUUGUCCUCUUGCUCUUCCUUCUCUUCCGGCUUUCCGCUUUCGUGUUCCCCGUUUGUUUUGCCCUGUUUCGACCCUUUUUGGGUUGCUCCCUGGCUGCGUGGUUGCGGCUCGCUUGUGGUGGUGUUUGUCCCUUGGGUGUCCUCUGUCCCGUUGUUGUUUGGGCCCUUGUUGUGUCUGGCCGCUUCUGUUUGGUGGGUCUUCUUGUUAUCUGUUCUUGUUCUUUGUCUUUUUCUUUUUCUUGCUUUCCGUCUUCUUUCUUUCUCUCGGGGUUGUUGGUUGUUUUUCUUUGAUCUUGUCCUUGUGUUUUUUUUGCUCUUCGUUGCGCUGCUUUCCCCCUUGUGGGUUUGGUUCCUCCCGUUUUGCGGUUUCU
rnacentral:rRNA from 1 species